CCUGAUGCAGCAACGCCGCGUGAGUGAAGAAGGUCUUUGGAUUGUAAAGCUCUUUCGGCUAGGAAGAAGGGUUUGUAGGCUAAUACCCUAUAAAUUUGACGGUACUAGAAGAAGAAGCACCGGCUAAAUCCGUGCCAGCAGCCGCGGUAAUACGGAUGGUGCAAGCGUUGUUCGGAAUGACUGGGCGUAAAGAGCACGUAGGCGGGCUCGUAAGUCGAAUGUGAAAGCCCCGGGCUUAACCUGGGAACUGCAUUCGAAACUGCGAGUCUUGAAUGCUUGAGAGGUUCGUGGAAUUCCAGGUGUAGGAGUGAAAUCCGUAGAUAUCUGGAGGAACACCAGAGGCGAAGGCGACGAACUGGCGAUGCAUUGACGCUGAGGUGCGAAAGCGUGGGUAGCAAACAGGAUUAGAUACCCUGGUAGUCCACGCCGUAAACGAUGGAUACUAAGUGUUUGGAGAGUUAACCCUCUGAGUACUACAGCUAACGCAUUAAGUAUCCCGCCUGGGGAGUACGGUCGCAAGGCUAAAACUCAAAGGAAUUGACGGGGGCCCGCACAAGCGGUGGAGUAUGUGGUUUAAUUCGAAGCUACGCGCAGAACCUUACCUACCCUUAACAUCCCAGGACAGCCACAGAG
rnacentral:rRNA from 1 species